rnacentral:rRNA from 1 species
UACGGAGGGAGCUAGCGUUAUUCGGAAUUACUGGGCGUAAAGCGCACGUAGGCGGCUUUGCAAGUUAGAGGUGAAAGCCUGGGGCUCAACUCCAGAACUGCCUUUAAAACUGCAUCGCUUGAAUCCAGGAGAGGUGAGUGGAAUUCCGAGUGUAGAGGUGAAAUUCGUAGAUAUCAGGAGGAACACCGGUGGCGAAGGCGGCUACCUGGACACCAACUGACGCUGAGACGCGAAAGCGUGGGGAGCAAACAGG